GACGAGGGGCCCGAGCGUUAUUCGGAAUCACUGGGCUUAAAGGGUGCGUAGGCGGAUGCGUAAGCGUCUCGUGAAAUCCCUCGGCUCAACCGGGGAAUGGCGGGGCGAACUGCGUGUCUUGAGACAGGUAGGGGCCGUCGGAACGCUCGGUGGAGCGGUGAAAUGCAUAGAUAUCGAGCGGAACGCCGAAGGAGAAGUCGGGCGGCUGGGCCUGUUCUGACGCUGAGGCACGAAAGCGUGGGGAUCGAACAGG
rnacentral:rRNA from 1 species